rnacentral:rRNA from 1 species
GAUGAAUGCUGGCGGCGUGCUUAACACAUGCAAGUCGAGCGGCAGCGCGAGUAGUUUACUACUUGGAGGCGAGCGGCGGACGGCUGAGUAACGCGUGGGAACAUGCCCUAAAGUGAGGAAUAACUGCCCGAAAGGGUGGCUAAUGCCGCAUAUGAUCUUCGGAUUAAAGGAUUUAUCCGCUUUAGGAGUGGCCUGCGUAUGAUUAUGUAGUUGGUGCGGUAAUGGCUCACCAAGCCGACGAUCAUUAGCUGGUCUGAGAGGAUGACCAGCCAGACUGGAACUGAGACACAGUCCAGACUCCUACGGGAGGCAGCAGUGAGGAAUAUUCCACAAUGGGCGAAAGCCUGAUGGAGCAACGCCGCGUGAAGGAUGAAGGCCCUCGGGUUGUAAACUUCUUUUAUGAGUGAAGAAUAUGACGGUAACUCAUGAAUAAGCACCGGCUAACUACGUGCCAGCCGCCGCGGUAA